UACGUAGGGGGCGAGCGUUAUUCGGAAUCAUUGGGCGUAAAGGGCGCGUAGGCGGCUUCGUAAGUCUUGGGUGAAAGCCCUCGGCUCAACCGAGGAAUUGCCUUGGAUACUGGGAAGCUCGAGGCUGGAAGAGGACAGUGGAAUUCCCGGUGUAGCGGUGAAAUGCGCAGAGAUCGGGAGGAACACCCGCAGCGAAGGCGGCACUCUGGGCCGGUACUGACGCUGAGAGACGAAAGCGAGGGGAGCGAAUGGG
rnacentral:rRNA from 1 species